UACGGGGGGGGCAAGCGUUGUUCGGAAUUACUGGGCGUAAAGGGCUCGUAGGCGGCCAACUAAGUCAGACGUGAAAUCCCUCGGCUUAACCGGGGAACUGCGUCUGAUACUGGAUGGCUUGAGUGUGGGAGAGGGAUGCGGAAUUCCAGGUGUAGCGGUGAAAUGCGUAGAUAUCUGGAGGAACACCGGUGGCGAAGGCGGCAUCCUGGACCAUUACUGACGCUGAGCGAGCGAAAGCGUGGGGAGCGAACAGG
rnacentral:rRNA from 1 species